rnacentral:rRNA from 1 species
AUUGAACGCUGGCGGCAUGCUUUACACAUGCAAGUCGAACGGUAACAGGGUGCUUGCACCGCUGACGAGUGGCGAACGGGUGAGUAAUGCGUCGGAACGUGCCGAGUAGUGGGGGAUAACGCAGCGAAAGUUGUGCUAAUACCGCAUACGUACUGAGGUAGAAAGUGGGGGACCUUCGGGCCUCACGCUAUUCGAGCGGCCGACGUCUGAUUAGCUAGUAGGUGAGGUAAAGGCUCACCUAGGCGACGAUCAGUAGCGGGUCUGAGAGGAUGAUCGGGCAGACUGGGACUGAGACACGGGCCAUACUCCUACGGGAGGCAGCAGGGGGGAAUUUUGGACAAUGGGAGAAAGACUGAUCCAGCCAUGCCGCGUGUCUGAAGAAGGCCUUCGGGUUGUAAAGGACUUUGGUCAGGGAGGAAAUCCCUAGUGCUAAUAACACUGGGGGAUGACAGUACCUGAAGAAUAAGCACCGGCUAACUACGUGCCAGCCGCCGCCGUAA